rnacentral:sRNA from 1 species
UGCCUAAAUACCCAAGCCUACAAUUGCG